rnacentral:rRNA from 1 species
GGCGGGGGUUAGACGGGCGUCGCGUGUAUACAAAACAUACUUGUUUUUUGUUUUCAAACCCCGCGGCCCCUUUUUUAAAAAAAUUGCCUUAUUUUUGAAGGCUUGCCCGAGGGGUCUGACGAAAGCAAUACUGUCUCUUCUUUAUUAUCUAGAAAUUAACCUAUGGGUGAAGAGGCCUAUAUUAUAUUGAAGGACAAGAAGACCCUGUCGAGCUUUAGAGUAAAGCAGGAAUAUAAGUAUUAAAAAAAAUCAAUGACUACAUAACUCUUUAGUUGGGGCGACUAAGGAACAAAUAAAGCUUCUUUUAGUUUUUUAGAUCAAUAAAUUUAGAUCCAGCAAAGCUGAUUAAAAGAAUUAGUUACCGCAGGGAUAACAGCAUAAUCUCUCUUGAGAGACCUAAUCGAAAGAGGGGGUUGUGACCUCGAUGUUGGACUAAAAUAUCCUGAAGAUGCAGACGUCUUCGAAGGUUGGUCUGUUCGACCAUUAAAAUUUUACGUGAUCUGAUUCAGACCGGACG